rnacentral:rRNA from 1 species
CCCCAGGUCAGGCGGGACUACCCGCCGAGUUUAA